UGAUAAUCAAUUAUACGUUGCCUGCAUAUCACCGGCUCGUGUUCCUUAAGCAAGUUACGUCGCAUGGGGACAUACACAGUUGACCAAUCCCUGGGGAAAGAUUCUUUACGAUUUGGAAACUCAAGAGAAUAUGGCAGUCACCGAUAUCGAUCUAAAAGUUGUUGAGGAAGUAAGGGCUCAGAUACCUACAUUUUCUCAGAGACGUACAGAUUUGUACGACACUGUCUGUAAGAAGGAGUAACUCUACACUAAAACAGAAAAUGUUUUUUUAUAAUAUUUCUACUACGAUAUCCUUUUUUUGUGAAUUAUUACUAAUUUCUUAUCAUUUGUACUAAAUGAAUGACUCAAUUAAGAAAACCAAAACGUUAUAAAUAAUAAUCUGUAUAUCUUGUGUAUCAACAUGUAAUUGGAUAUUAUAAUAAUAUAGGAAUGCUAUAAUAAUAUAGGAUAAUAAUAUAGGAGAAUAGUAAUAUAGAAAAAAACUACAUGCUUUUAAACACCUUUAAUAUCGAUCACAUAAAUUGUUAUAAUUCACAAUGAUUACGCAUACAUAAAAGACCCCUUGAUAGUAAAAUUUACGAUCAAAAGGCAAUUACGUAUCGUUUAACAACAUUUAAUUUAUAACACCUUUUAAACAUUUAGACAGAUUAACACAUAACACUUCUUAUAUAGAAACAUCAAUUCGAAGUUAUCAGCUUGGAGAAAUUGGUCGAUUAAUACCUGUAGAUUGUCUGUCUCGAUGAAAGACUUAAAGAGAGCAAAAACAUGAUAAUGCCGCUAAUAUAAUAUUCCUUCUUUCUUGUAUCUGUCUGCCUCUCAGGUCGUUUUACUAAUUACAAUAAGUAAUUUCGCCUUCUUUGCGCUCUCUUUUAACGCAUUCGAGACCGAAAGAAAUUCAUAUCAGUCAGUAGGCAAGGGUAUAAUAUACAUAUUUUAUAUAUAACUUACGUAGUAAUGUAUAUAUCAUGUUAAUUUCAUAUUUUUUUCAAUAUAGAAUUAUUAUAUAUAUAUAUUUAACUGUACAUAAUACAUUAUAGAAUAACAUAGUAUAUAAUUUUAUAUUUUAAAAAUAUGAGGCAUACUAUUUAAGAUUGUCAUCGAUUUAAAAUCAAAGUAUGAAAAGGAUACCCUGGAGAGAGUAAAACACAGAAUCAUUCUAACUAAACAUUCAAAUCGUAGCGACACCUAGGUAUCGUCUUACAAUUAAAUCUCGGUCUCGAAUGGAUUAAAAUGAAAUACAUACUUGCAGCUUCAACAUCUUCAAUAUCGAGGAGAUUCAAACUUUACAAAUAAAUGUAAAUUGCGAUGUAAAACAAAGCGAUGUAAAAAGGGAAAAGGAGGAAAGAAGGAACAGGGAAGCAAAGAGAAGAAACGAAUUUUUCAUUUUCUCGAAACUGGAUCAAGUUUCAGGAAGGCCAUCCAAGUAAUUGAUGUCCUCUGUACUUAUUUGUUAAUCAUGCGCGGAAUCAGAACGAUUCGACCUCGUUCCAAAGCAAAUCGUUACUAGAGUAGAGACGGGAAUUAAUAAUUCGUGUCAAUUGUUCGAUCGUGUUCACAAAUUCAAAUGCGGUUGAGUAGCGGAAACCAUUUAUAACACGUCCCAUACAGCGUAGAUCGCAUACACGUCUUAGGAUGUAUUUUUGGUACUUAUAUAUACUCUAUAUAUAUUCUUA